GUAGACGAGAGCUGUUAGCGCCUGUUGUGUAUCGUAUUUAGUCCUGUCAUGUUAUCGAAGUAACUUUACAACUUGUUUUCCUGAGUAAGUAUGGAAUCGUUGAGCACAGAAUCCGGUUGCUUUAUUCUCGACUUUAGGUGCUAAAAUUGAUCCUGGCUAUGUAAAUCGAUCAGAUUUAAUUAAUAGAACUAACGACAGUUUAUUGGAUAACAGAUUCGGGUUAAAUCUCGAGGGUCAUUGGGUUAGAAGUUCAAGGACGUUUCAACAUUUUGGCGUGGUGAACGAUAAACACACGUUACAGAACAAAUAUUUUGAGGAGCAGAAAAACCUGUUAUAACUGUUCAUUUGAGUGAAUUCAGUAUUUCCGAAUUUCAUAUCAACUAUGUACAGAGGUUAUUGUUUAGUUCCGUAAAACAAGUCACUCUUCAAAAUGGAUAUACUGCGUAGUGGAUUAAAUGUGUUGCUUUUUCUGUGCGUUUCCCUGUGUUAUUAUGCAUUUGGUGACGAAUCCUCGCACCCAGAGAGAUAUCACGAUGAGUCAUUCCCAGAGAAAAUGUUUGUUUUUGGUCGAAUUAUAACAUGUGGUAAUAUUACUCAGGGUUUAUUUCCCUCCAAAACAUGGACAUGUGCUGACAUAAGUGUAAAUGGUGCUAAUUUAGCAUAUGGCUAUAAUAUAGGAAGUCUGGGUGUGGUUGAAUGCCAGGAAACAAAAGGAAAACAUGAAUUUGCCACCCUAUGUCGAGAAUUAUUAUCACUUAUAGAUGUUAAAACACCAUUAU